UACGAAGGGGGCUAGCGUUGCUCGGAAUCACUGGGCGUAAAGCGCACGUAGGCGGAUUCUUAAGUCGGUGGUGAAAUCCUGGAGCUCAACUCCAGAACUGCCUUCGAUACUGAGAGUCUUGAGUUCGGGAGAGGUGAGUGGAACUGCGAGUGUAGAGGUGAAAUUCGUAGAUAUUCGCAAGAACACCAGUGGCGAAGGCGGCUCACUGGACCGGUACUGACGCUGAUGCGCGAAAAGCGUGGGGAGCGAAA
rnacentral:rRNA from 1 species